ACCAACUAUGGAGUUUCGAGUUGUUCAAUUGACGUGAACCAUCUCUGUGUAAAUCUUCAAUUCUGAUGUUUUGCCUUCCGUUAAAAUCAUGUUCAUAGUAUUCCUAAACUUCAUACCUUUAAUUAACGUGAUUCUGUUCUUGAAUAAGUGUUAUUAAAUUCAUGUUCAUAUGACUAUUAAACUAAUGUUCAUAGUGUUCUUAAACUCAUAUCUUAAUAAUUUUGUAAUUUGGUUGAGGUCAUGUUACGCUGGAGCAGGAAUCUGUUCUUUUCUAAUAUUAAGCCCUUCGAAGAGAAAGGUCUUGCUGAUGAGUGGGACAAAGUUGGGAUGUAUCUCUCAGGGUUCAAUAAGCUCGAUGAUGAUAAUUGAUUCUCUGGAAAUUUUAUUUGAGAUUAGGACAAAGGUAUAGUGAAGCUCGAGAUUGAGAUGAUUUGUUCUUUUAAUUUAUUUCUUGAAUAUACAGCUAUAUUCUUCCUUGAAGUAAUUAUGUUGUUUGUAUGUUUAUUUCAGAAAUGUCAAAAGGUUUAUGAAGAUCUUUACAAAGAGAUGACUCAGCUUCUGACUCGAGAUCAUUUUAGGGAAAAGAGUAAUUGUCAACUAGAGUGAUACAAAAUCAGCCAGAAAUAUAAUGUAAACUCAGUUGAAGAAACUGAUAGAGGAAUAUUCUUUGUUUGAUGAGAAGCUUGCCUUCCCCAGUUUCCAGCCUUCUUGCUCGUGAACUUUGAUCAAUCAAAGGAACGUCUCAGGUCAGACUGCAAAAUGGGUCUCUUCCAGGGAGGCGGCUGAGCUGUCUGGAGGAUCGGACAGGGGUACAAGACAGAAAGCGUCUGAGAAAACUGUAAAGACGGAAGAUGGUGUUUUGGGCGAGUUUCAUGGUUCCACAAAAGCUUCUCGCCGGCCCAUGGUUGAAAGAUCUCCUUCUUCGACAAGUCUUGACCGGAGAUUCAAUUUAUAAUCAGAGUUAGUGCAAGAUGGAGCAGUGAGGUUGAAGAAACAGGCCUUAGGAACAACGCGAAAGAUUUUUCAGCACCUGAGGAUGAAAGGUUUCGGGUGGAUGACACAUCACAGGGAAAUAUAUCCUUUAACAAUAAAGCCUACCUGAGAAAGUGCCAUUGAAGAUAGGAAGGAGUUUGGUAGAUCUUCAAGCCUAUACUUCUGAGUUGUUGAUGCUUUUGGGAGCUGUAAUAAAAUUACGUUCUUCGGCUGGAUGACAUUGUUUCUGCAUAUUUUGAGUUGUGAAGUUCAGGUACUCUCUUUCACAAG